AAACACCCCCAGAAAUUUGAGAAUACACCCCAAAAAAUCGGGGAAAUAAACCCAAAAAAUCGGGGAAAUAUACCCAAAAAAUCGGGGAAAUAAACCCCAAAAAUCUGGGGAAUAAACCUAAAAAAUCUGGGAGAGGAAGACCCCAAAAAUCUAGGAAAUACACUCAAAAAAAUCUGGGAGGGACACCUCAAAAAAUCUGGGGAGAUACACCUAAAAAUAUGGGGAAAUAAACCCAAAAAUCUGGGAAAUAAUAAACCCAAAAAUUAGGGAGGGACACCCCAAAAAAAAUCUGGGGAGAUACACUCAAAAAAUUGGGAAAUAAACCCUAAAAAUCUGGGAGAUAUACCUCAAAAAUUAGGGAGGGGAACCCAAAAAAUCUGGGAAAUAAACCCCAAAAUAUCUGGGAAAUAAACCCCAAAAUAUCUGGGAAAUAAACCCAAAAAAUCUGGGAAAUAAACCCAAAAAAUCUGGGAAAUAAACCCCAAAAAAUCUGGGAAAUAAACCCAAAAAAUCUGGGAAAUACACCAAAAAAAUUGGGGAAAUAAACCCAAAAAAUCUGGGAAAUAAACCCCAAAAAAUCUGGGAAAUAAACCCAAAAAAUCUGGGAAAUAAACCCAAAAAAUCUGGGAAAUAAACCCCAAAAAAUCUGGGAAAUAAACCCUAAAAAUCUGGGAAAUAAACCCAAAAAAUCUGGGAAAUAAACCCCAAAAAUCUGGGGAAAUAAACCUAAAAAAUCUGGGAGAUAAACCCAAAAAAUCUGGAAAAUAAACCCAAAAAAUCUGGGAAAUAAACCCUAAAAAUCUGGGAAAUAAACCCUAAAAAUUUGGGAAAUAAACCCAAAAAAUUUGGGGAAUAAUCUGGGAAAUAAACCAAAAAAAUGUGGGAAAUAAACCCCAAAAAAUCUGGGAAAUAAACCCAAAAAAUCUGGGAAAUAAACCUAAAAAAUCUGGGAAAUAAACCCAAAAAAUCUGGGGAGAUACACCUAAAAAUAUGGGGAAAUAAACCCAAAAAUCUGGGAAAUAAUAAACCCAAAAAUUAGGGAGGGACACCCCAAAAAAAAUCUGGGGAGAUACACUCAAAAAAUUGGGAAAUAAACCCUAAAAAUCUGGGAGAUAUACCUCAAAAAUUAGGGAGGGGAACCCCAAAAAAUCUAGGAAAUACACCCCAAAAAUCUGGGGAAAUAAACCCCAAAAAUCUGGGAGGGACACCCAAAAAUUGGGGAGGGGAACCCCAAAAACCUGGGCCAGGUGAGGGGUCAGGAGCACAAGCUCAAGGAGUACUCCAAGUCCAUGGACGAGAGCCGGCUGGACCGGGUAGGGGAAACACCCCCAGAAAUCUGGGAAAUAAACCCAAAAAAUCUGGGAAAUAAACCUAAAAAAUCUGGGGAGGGACGCCCUAAAAAUCUGGGAGAGGAACCCCAAAAAUCUGGGGAGAUACACCCAAAAAUUAGGGAGGGACACCCCAAAAAAUCUGGGAAAUAAACCCAAAAAAUUGGGGAGGGACGCCCUAAAAAUCUGGGAGAUAUACCCCAAAAAAUCAGGGAAAUAUACCCAAAAAUUGGGGAAAUAUACCCCAAGAAAUCUGGGAGAUAUACCUCAAAAAAUUGGGGAGGGACGCCCUAAAAAUCUGGGAAAUAAACCCAAAAAAUCUGGGAGAUAUACCUCAAAAAAUCGGGGAGAUACACCCUAAAAAUCUGGGAAAUAAACCCAAAAAACCCCCAGGGGACACCCCAAAAAUCUAGGAAAUACACCCCAAAAAUAUGGGGAGGGAGACCCUAAAAAUCUAGGAAAUAUACCCAAAAAAUCUGGGAAAUAUACUCCAAAAAUUAAGGAGGGAGACCCCAAAAUAUCUGGGAAAUACACCCAAAAAAUCUGGGAAAUAAACCCCAAAAAAUCUGGGAAAUAAACCCAAAAACCUGGGCCAGGUGAGGGGUGAGGAGCACAAGCUCAAGGAGUACUCCAAGUCCAUGGACGAGAGCCGGCUGGACCGGGUAGGGCAAACACCCCCAGAAAAACCCCCAGGGACACCCCAAAAAUCUGGGAAAACACCCCAAAAUUAUGGGAGAUAUACCCCAAAAAUAUGGGGAGAUACACUCAAAAAAUUGGGGAGAUAUAGCCAAAAAAUCUGGGAAAUAAACCCAAAAAAUCUGGGAAAUAAACCCAAAAAACCCCCAGGGGACACCCCAAAAAUCUAGGAAAUACACCCCAAAAAUAUGGAGACGGAGACCCUAAAAAUCUGGGAAAUAAACCCAAAAAAUCUGGGAAAUAUACUCCAAAAAUUAAGGAGGGAGACCCCAAAAUAUCUGGGAAAUACACCCAAAAAAUCUGGAGAAAUAAACCCUAAAAAUCUGGGAAAUAAACCCAAAAACCUGGGCCAGGUGAGGGGUCAGGAGCACAAGCUCAAGGAGUACUCCAAGUCCAUGGACGAGAGCCGGCUGGACCGGGUAGGGCAAACACCCCCAGAAAUUUGGGAAUACACCCCAAAAAAUCUGGGAAAUAAACCCAAAAAAUCUGGGAAAUAAACCUAAAAAAUCUGGGGAGGGACGCCCUAAAAAUCUGGGAGAUAUACCCCAAAAAAUCGGGGAAAUAUACCCUAAAAAUCGGGGAAAUAUACUCCAAAAAUAUGGGGAGGGAGACACCAAAAUAUCUGGGAAAUAAACCCAAAAAACCCUCAGGGGACACCCCAAAAAUAUGGAAGGGACACCCCAAAAAAUCGGGGAAAUAUACCCAAAAAUUGGGGAGAUAACACCCAAAAAUCUGGGAAAUAAACCCAAAAAACCUGGGAAAUACACCCCAAAAAUUGGGGAGAUAUACCUCAAAAAUUAGGGAGGGGAACCCCAAAAAAUCUGGGGAGAUACACCCCAAAAAUCUGGGGAAAUACACCCCAAAAUAUCUAGGAAAUAAACCCUAAAAAUCUGGAGAAAUAAACCCUAAAAAUCUGGGAAAUAAACCCAAAAACCUGGGCCAGGUGAGGGGUCAGGAGCACAAGCUCAAGGAGUACUCCAAGUCCAUGGACGAGAGACGGCUGGACCGGGUAGGGGAACAUCCCAAAAAACCUGGGAAUACACCCCAAAAAACCCCCAGGGGACACCCCAAAAAUCUGGGACAGGUGUGGGACUCAGGUGUGACCAGGAAUCCAGAUGUUCAGGUGUCCAUGGAUUGAGGUGUUCAUGGAUUGAGAUGUUCAGGUGUUCAGGUGUCCAUGGAUUGAGGUGUUCUGGUGGAUCCAGGUGUCCAGGUGUCCAGAUGUCCAGGUGUCCAGGUGUCCAGGUGUCCAGGUGUCCAUGGAUUGAGAUGUUCAGGUGGAUCUCAGGUGUCCAGGUGUCCAGGUGUCCAUGGAUUGAGGUGUCCAUGGAUUGAGAUGUUCAGGUGGAUCCAGGUGUCCAGGUGUUCAGGUGUCCAUGGAUUGAGGUGUCCAUGGAUUGAGAUGUUCAGGUGGAUCCAGGUGUCCAGGUGUUCAGGUGUCCAUGGAUUGAGGUGUCCAUGGAUUGAGAUGUUCAGGUGGAUCUCAGGUGUCCAGGUGUCCAGGUGUCCAGGUGUCCAGGUGUCCAUGGAUUGAGGUGUCCAGGUGUCCAGGUGUCCAGGUGUCCAGGUGUCCAUGGAUUGAGGUGUUCAUGGAUUGAGAUGUUCAGGUGGAUCUCAGGUGUCCAGGUGUCCAGGUGUCCAUGGAUUGAGGUGUCCAUGGAUUGAGAUGUUCAGGUGGAUCUCAGGUGUCCAGGUGUCCAGGUGUCCAUGGAUUGAGGUGUCCAUGGAUUGAGAUGUUCAGGUGUCGAGGUGUCCAUGGAUCCAGGUGUCCAGGUGUCCAUGGAUCCAGGUAUCCAUGGAUUGAGAUGUUCAGGUGUCCAGGUGUCCCAUAGAAGGUCCCAGGUGCCCUCAGGUGUCACUUAGAAGGUUCUGGGAGGUCCCAGGUGCCCCAUAGAAGGUCCCAGGUGCCCCAUAGAAGGUUCUAGGAGGUCCCAGGUGCCCUCAGGUGUCCCAUAGAAGGUCCCAGGUGUCUCCAGGUGUCACCAGGGUUGGGUUCCUGAGAGUCCAGGUGUCCCAUAGAAGGUCCCAGGAGGUUCUAGGUUGCUCCAGGUGUCUCAUAGAAGGUUCUGGGAGGUUCUAGGAGGUCUCAGGAGGUUCUGGGAGGUUCUGGGGGGUCCCAGGUGGCCCCAGGAGCCCCCAGGUGUGACGUGUGGCAGGUGAAGGAGGACGAGGAGGAGAUCCACUCGCUGAAGGAGCGGCUGCACCUGUGCCCAGGUGUCCCAGAGAAGGUCCCAGGUGCCCCAUAGAAGGUUCUAGGAGGUCCCAGGUGCCUCCAGGUGCCCCAUAGAAGGUCCCAGGUGCCCCAUAGAAGGUUCUAGGAGGUCCCAGGUGCCUCCAGGUGCCCCAUAGAAGGUCCCAGGUGCCCCAUAGAAGGUCCCAGGUGCCCCAUAGAAGGUUCUAGGAGGUCCCAGGUGUCUCCAGGUGUGCCCAGGUGUGACCACAGAGGGUUCCCAGAUGUUCAGGUGGUCACCAGGGUUGGGUUCCUGAGAGUCCAGGUGCCCCAUAGAGUGUCCCAGGUGCCCUCAGGUGCCCCAUAGAAGGUUCUGGGUGGUCCCAGGUGUCCCAUAGAAGGUUCUGGGAGGUUCUGGGUUGCUCCAGGUGGCCCCAGGUGGCCCCAGGUGGCCCCAGGAGCCCCCAGGUGUGACGUGUGGCAGGUGAAGGAGGACGAGGAGGAGAUCCACUCGCUGAAGGAGCAGCUGCACCUGUGCCC